UCUGCUCUCAGCAGUCCCUGGGGAGCCUUUGGCACUCCCUGCCCUCACUGGGGCCCAGUGAUGCUCCAGGGGACUUGGAGUUUUGCUUCUGACUUCUUGAGCAGCUUCUUCAUCCUUCUCUCAGUGCCUGAGGGUCAUGGAUUCAGCCACAAAUCCACUGUGGGGAUCAUUAACAUACAGAAAGUCCUCGAGGGUUCUUUCUCUUCCUUUAAUUGUCUUCCAAUUGUCCAGGGCUUGUGCAGCUGAUUGGAGUCAGUUUGAAGUUCUGUUAAAGAGGAAGAUUUCAAAGUGCACCUCAUGACUUUUCUUGUUUACUCAAUGCAGUAUUUUUUAUGUUCCAGUUCAGAGAAGAGCUGAUAGAAGCAUUCCCCAGGUGAUCUUGAUGCUGAAUGUCUCCUUAGGAGGUCUUGGCACAGAGAAGGACGAGCCCCCUUUGGGCUGACCCUGUUUGGACAAGCUGCUCCUCACCCCCAGCGUCACCAUGUCUGACAUGGCCCACCUGGCACUGACAUCCCUGUGCCCUGCAGCAGAACCUUGUCCCCUGAGCUCUGCAGCUCCAUGUCCCAGCCCAUUGCACCAUGUUCCAUCUGCUCUCCUCAGGGCUCUGCCUACACAGAGGUCCAGGAGAAGUUUUCCUGUUGGGAAGGAAAGAAUGGAAAAGCCUGAAGAGGUUUCCUAAACAACAAACCCCACUCAGGAACCACCUGCUCAGUCCAGGCUGCCUGGAAUGGUGUCACCUUUCUACAAGGGACAGUAUGGAAGCUGCUGGUGCCAUCAUCACCUUUAACCUCUCUUUUGAAUGCAAACAGAUGUUCCCAGGUGUGCUAAGCAGGAUUUGCUCAAUGUUUCUACAAAACUUUUGUGUUCUUCUUGGAAUGAAGGGGCCAUUUUGAAGGGGGUAUGUGAAAGCAAGGAGUCAAUUGUGACACUGGGGUCUCAUGGAACCAAGGGGCCAUGGUGACACAGCAGGGCCACGUGGAUCCAGUGGUCCAUUGUGACACUGUGGAUCCAUGGAGACACCCCCAGAACCUCAUGGAACCAAGGAGUCCAUGGUGACCCAGCAGGGCUGCAUGGAGCCAAUGGUCCCUGGUGACACUGCCCAUCCAAGGAGGCCACUGUGACACUGCGGGAGCUCAUGGAGCGAGGACAGCUGGGGCCUGAAGAUUGGUGAACUAUUAAUCUUUGGAAACUGCUGAUCAAGGACUGAAGGAUUUUUCACACUGUCAUCUGUACUCUCAGUCGCCUCACAAAAAGAAAUUACAGUGUUGGACCUGUCUCCUGACCCACCUUGUUUUACACCCCAAUGACUAACAAUUGCCCAAGCCAUAUUACUCCUUGAACAGGAUGCUGGUGACGCUUCACUAGUGAUGUGGACCCAGGUGAUAAGUCAUGAUCAACCAAAAAUCGCCUGCACUCUGGAACUUACCAAUGAACAUAUUGUUUUGAUAGGGCUUGUGGACAUGGGAGCAGAUGUGACAAGUAUCUCACGUUCCAAGUGGCCUCCUAACUGGGUGCUCAGAGCUAAUGCGGGAACAUUGUCCAGGAUCAGAGGUGACAGUGAUAGUCUCCAAAGUGCAGAACUCUUCAACAUCAAAGGACCUGAAGACCAAACUGCUACAACAAGACCAUUUGUGGUAAAGGACCUUCGUGUGUCCCAGCUAAGAACAUCAAGCCCUACCUGCAGCCACUGAGCGUGGAUUCACCAAAGGAACCCCCAAGUCCACCCCAGGACAAAAACCACCAGACAGCGACUCUAGUACCUGCACUAGACAAUUCUUUUGAAGAUGACACAUAAGAAGCUUCUACUCACCUUCCUCAGCCUGUUUGCAACCAUGCUCCUCACGAGUGGAUGGGUAGCUCCACAACCAAAGCACAACAUAUGGAUACCUCUAGCAAAAGCCAUGAAACAAGACACCCUGUGCCUGUUGUUAGCCCUGACGACCCCCUCUCCACCUUCCUAGUGGGGUUGCCUACAGAUGUCUGGCCAAUAACUGACAAUUCCACCCCCAGUGUGAGAGAUGACAAUCCUAAAGGCAAAUGCAAGUGCAACCUGUCGAUGCUUGGGACUAAUGGACCCAGAAGCUUCUGCAUGCAGCACUUGAACUCCAGGAGGUAAAAAUUCUCAACUCUGUAAAAAUGGACUUUUGUGUAAGGUUUUAUUACCGUCUGAAAUGGGAAGAAGGUGAAAGACCCAAAAUUACAAGAGAAAAAUAAACUAUCAGGAGAGACAUCUCCCCAUACCAUCCCACUUACAAAAAACAGAACCAAUGGUGUAAUUGCACCUCUUCCAUAAUUUCUCGGUCCGGUAGCUACCCACUUCAGUUGCCACAGGAUGUGUUUCUUAUUUGCAGGGAUGUAGCAUGGCCUGGUAUCCCUUCACACAUCAAAGGCAGACCUUGUAGCUUGGGGAGGCUUACCUUGCUGGCACUCAACAUCUCACUUAAUUAAAAGAAAAAAGUCAUGAGUUGUAGUUUGAAAUCUUCCUCCUUAAUAUAACUCCAAACUGACUCCAGUCAGCUGCACAAGCCCUGAAGACUUGAAGAGCACUGAAGGAAGAGAAAGAGCCCCAAGGGCUUACUGUAUUUUAAUGAUUCCCACAGUGGAUUUGUGGCUGAGUCCAUGACCCUCAGGCACUGAGAGAAGCCUGAAGAAGCUGCUCAAGGAGUCAGAAGCAAAACUCCAAGUC